UAUUUAUUUAUUUACCGACUUGUAUCGUUUGUUGCUGCCGCCCGAGAAGGAGGAGAAAGAUGAGAAAAGGAAGAGAAUAUUAUGCAAAGGUAAACAAACAACGGUUUAGAAAAGAACGUUUAGCUGGCUUUUGCAGUGAAAUUUAGAAAACUUUAAAUUAAGUGAAGUAGUUAGAUAUUGUGUAGAGCGAGGUGUAGAGUAGAUUCUGUUCCGGAACAAAGUUGCUACUGCUACAGAUGGUACUUUGCCGGAAAGUAUAAGAUAAGGAAAAACAGUUGUAUAAUUGUCAUUCGUCGCAAACCGAACGUGAAUAAUAUAGGGAGAAAAGGACCGCAGUUUAUGUGAAAAAAGAAUCGCUGUACGGAAGCUGUUAAUGUGUACAAGGGGAGAGUAGAACCAAUCGUUGUAAGUA